GGUCUACUACACCUGUUGUAUUCGGCAUUUCACUGUGAGGUCUACUACACCUGUUGUAUUCAGCAUUUCACUGUAAGGUCUACUACACCUGUUGUAUUCAGCAUUUCACUGUAAGGUCUACUACACCUGUUGUAUUCAGCAUUUCACUGUGAGGUCUACUACACCUGUUGUAUUCAGCAUUUCACUGUGAGGUCUACUACACCUGUUGUAUUCAGCAUUUCACUGUGAGGUCUACUACACCUGUUGUAUUCGGCAUUUCACUGUGAGGUCUACUACACCUGUUGUAUUCAGCAUUUCACUGUGAGGUCUACUACACCUGUUGUAUUCAGCAUUUCACUGUGAGGUCUACUACACCUGUUGUAUUCAGCAUUUCACUGUGAGGUCUACUACACCUGUUGUAUUCGGCAUUUCACUGUGAGGUCUACUACACCUGUUGUAUUCGGCAUUUCACUGUGAGGUCUACUACACCUGUUGUAUUCAGCAUUU